GGCUAAGUGGCAGAGUGGUAAUGCAGCGGCCUGCAAAGCCGUCAACGCCGGUUCGAUUCCGACCUUAGCCU
rnacentral:tRNA from 3 species